rnacentral:ncRNA from 1 species
AUAAAAGCUGUAAUCAAGGGCAAGAAUUCUUAACGAGAUCCGACCAGAGAGAGAGAGGUCAUCGGCUGAAAGCCUCUUCGGUAAUCCUAAGGAUUUACCACCUUGUAGCUGCGAUAUGGAAAUCAGGGUUAACAUCCUUGAGAGUAAACUUCGCCGGGUAUUCCCGUUAUAGAAACGAAUGAGGACUCGCUUCUUUGCGAGUCAAAUUAGGGUGGAACCACGAGCGCACUCGUCCCUUUC